CAAUAGCGUAUAUUUAAGUUGUUGCAGUUAAAAAGCUCGUAGUUGGAUUUCGGGUGGGACGCAGCGGUCUCGCAUUGCGUUUGUACUGCUGCAGCCCUCCUUCUUGCCGGGGGCGGCCUCUCGGACUUCACUGUCUGGGGGUCAGAAUCGGCGAUGUUACUUUGAGUAAAUUAGAGUGUUCAAAGCAAGCUUACGCUCUGAAUAUAAUAGCAUGGGAUAACACGACAGGACUCUGGCCUAUCGUGUUGGUCUAUAGGACCAGAGUAAUGAUUAAGAGGGACAGUCGGGGGCAUUCGUAUUUCAUUGUCAGAGGUGAAAUUCUUGGAUUUAUGAAAGACGAACUUCUGCGAAAGCAUUUGUCAAGGAUGUCUUCAUUAA
rnacentral:rRNA from 1 species